UGGAUCCAGACUUUGAUUCUGGCUCAGGACGAACGCUGGCGGCGUGCCUAAUACAUGCAAGUAGAACGCUGAAGAGAGGAGCUUGCUCUUCUUGGAUGAGUUGCGAACGGGUGAGUAACGCGUAGGUAACCUGCCUUGUAGCGGGGGAUAACUAUUGGAAACGAUAGCUAAUACCGCAUAACAAUGGAUGACUCAUGUCAUUUAUUUGAAAGGGGCAAAUGCUCCACUACAAGAUGGACCUGCGUUGUAUUAGCUAGUAGGUGAGGUAACGGCUCACCUAGGCGACGAUACAUAGCCGACCUGAGAGGGUGAUCGGCCACACUGGGACUGAGACACGGCCCAGACUCCUACGGGAGGCAGCAGUAGGGAAUCUUCGGCAAUGGGGGCAACCCUGACCGAGCAACGCCGCGUGAGUGAAGAAGGUUUUCGGAUCGUAAAGCUCUGUUGUAAGUCAAGAACGAGUGUGAGAGUGGAAAGUUCACACUGUGACGGUAGCUUACCAGAAAGGGACGGCUAACUACGUGCCAGCAGCCGCGGUAAUACGUAGGUCCCGAGCGUUGUCCGGAUUUAUUGGGCGUAAAGCGAGCGCAGGCGGUUUGAUAAGUCUGAAGUUAAAGGCUGUGGCUCAACCAUAGUUCGCUUUGGAAACUGUCAAACUUGAGUGCAGAAGGGGAGAGUGGAAUUCCAUGUGUAGCGGUGAAAUGCGUAGAUAUAUGGAGGAACACCGGUGGCGAAAGCGGCUCUCUGGUCUGUAACUGACGCUGAGGCUCGAAAGCGUGGGGAGCGAACAGGACUAGAUACCCUGGUAGUCCACGCCGUAAACGAUGAGUGCUAGGUGUUGGAUCCUUUCCGGGAUUCAGUGCCGCAGCUAACGCAUUAAGCACUCCGCCUGGGGAGUACGACCGCAAGGUUGCAACUCAAAGGAAUUGACGGA
rnacentral:rRNA from 1 species